AAGUCGUAACAAGGUUUCCGUAGGUGAACCUGCGGAAGGAUCAUUAAUGAGAAGCGACCUCGCGGCCGUGGGGGCUUCGGUCCCCGACUCACACCCUCUGUUUACUUACGUUUGUUGCUUUGGCGGGCCUUGGGGUCAUACCCAUGCGUCUCAAGGGCUGCUCCGGUGACGGACAGCCUGGCGCGUGCGCCCGUCAAAGGCCCUAUCAAUUCUGUUUAUCAGUGUCGUCCGAGUAAAAACCAAAUAAAUUAAA
rnacentral:misc_RNA from 1 species